rnacentral:rRNA from 1 species
AGUGAACGCUGGCGGUAGGCCUAACACAUGCAAGUCGAACGGCAGCACAGUAAGAGCUUGCUCUUACGGGUGGCGAGUGGCGGACGGGUGAGGAAUACAUCGGAAUCUACUUUUUCGUGGGGGAUAACGUAGGGAAACUUACGCUAAUACCGCAUACGACCUACGGGUGAAAGCAGGGGAUCUUCGGACCUUGCGCGAUUGAAUGAGCCGAUGUCGGAUUAGCUAGUUGGCGGGGUAAAGGCCCACCAAGGCGACGAUCCGUAGCUGGUCUGAGAGGAUGAUCCGCCACACUGGGACCUAGGCAACGUCCCGACUCCUUAGGGAGGCAAGAAUUGGGAAAUUUGGACAAUGGGGGGAAGCCUGAUCCAGCCAUACCGCGUGGGUGAAGAAGGCCUUCGGGUUGUAAAGCCCUUUUGUUGGGAAAGAAAAGCAGCAGGUUAAUACCCCGCUGUUCUGACGGUACCCAAAGAAUAAGCACCGGCUAACUUCGUG